GUGGCGAACGGGUGAGUAACACGUGGGCAAUCUGCCCUGCACUCUGGGACAAGCCCUGGAAACGGGGUCUAAUACCGGAUACUGAUCAUCUUGGGCAUCCUUGGUGAUCGAAAGCUCCGGCGGUGCAGGAUGAGCCCGCGGCCUAUCAGCUUGUUGGUGAGGUAAUGGCUCACCAAGGCGACGACGGGUAGCCGGCCUGAGAGGGCGACCGGCCACACUGGGACUGAGACACGGCCCAGACUCCUACGGGAGGCAGCAGUGGGGAAUAUUGCACAAUGGGCGAAAGCCUGAUGCAGCGACGCCGCGUGAGGGAUGACGGCCUUCGGGUUGUAAACCUCUUUCAGCAGGGAAGAAGCGAAAGUGACGGUACCUGCAGAAGAAGCGCCGGCUAACUACGUGCCAGCAGCCGCGGUAAUACGUAGGGCGCGAGCGUUGUCCGGAAUUAUUGGGCGUAAAGAGCUCGUAGGCGGCUUGUCGCGUCGGUUGUGAAAGCCCGGGGCUUAACCCCGGGUCUGCAGUCGAUACGGGCAGGCUAGAGUUCGGUAGGGGAGAUCGGAAUUCCUGGUGUAGCGGUGAAAU
rnacentral:rRNA from 1 species